UUGACCUCGGAUCAGGUAGGGAUACC
rnacentral:rRNA from 450 species